CCAGAACUGAGCAACUUCCUCAGUCAGAGGAACAGAUGAAAGCCUGAAUGGCAAUGCUGCAGGUGCUUGCUAGUGUUUUGAGAUCUACUUCACUGGACCUAUACACUUACUUCCCAGCUGAUAAUGAAACAGGAGAGAGACGGCUGAUGCCCCAAAAGGGCCCACAACCUGUGUGUAACAGUGACUUCAAAAGUAGAUCCUCCCAGCCAGAUGUGGUGGCGCACACCAGUAAUCUCAGCACUCAGAGGCUAAGGU
rnacentral:lncRNA from 1 species